GUACUUGCUUUAAAAGCACAUACACUAAAAUCAGAAUGAUACAGAGAACAUUAGCAUGGCCUGUGUGCAAACAAAGAUGACACACAAAUUGGUGAAGCAACAAACCAUGCU
ensembl:snRNA U6 U6 spliceosomal RNA